rnacentral:rRNA from 1 species
CCUACGGGAGGCUGCCGUGAGGAAUAUUGGUCAAUGGACGAGAGUCUGAACCAGCCAAGUAGCGUGAAGGAUGACUGCCCUAUGGGUUGUAAACUUCUUUUAUAAAGGAAUAAAACGAGGCACGUGUGCCUUUUUGCAUGUACUUUAUGAAUAAGGAUCGGCUAACUCCGUGCCAGCAGCCGCGGUAAUACGGAGGAUCCGAGCGUUAUCCGGAUUUAUUGGGUUUAAAGGGUGCGUAGACGGGUUGUUAAGUCAGUUGUGAAAGUUUGGGGCUCAACCGGAAAAUUGCAUUUGAUACUGGCAGUCUAGAGUACAGUUGAGGUAGGCGGAAUUCGUGGUGUAGCGGUGAAAUGCUUAGAUAUCACGAAGAACCCCGAUUGCGAAGGCAGCUUACUAAACUGUGACUGACGUUGAUGCACGAAAGUGUGGGUAUCAAACAGGAUUAGAUACCCCAGUAGUC